AGUCAACAUCAGUCAGUUACAGAGCAGUUACGAGACACUGAGGAAAAAUCACAGCCAGUUACAGGAUGAAGUAAAGCAGCUGAAGGACAAACUUGAUGGGAAGUGUUGUCCUGAAGGAUGGAAGAGAUUUGGAUGCAGCUGUUACUUUAAAUCCAACGAGAAGAAAACUUGGUCUGACAGCAGAAGUGACUGUCAAAGUAGAGGAGCACAUCUGGUGAUCAUAAACAACGAAGAGGAACAGAAAUGUGUCACUGAGCUGAACAAGGAUGGAGACUCCUGGAUUGGUCUACAGGCCACACGAAAACAGACAAAAACAGGAUGGGAAUGGAAAUGGG